UACAGAGGGUGCGAGCGUUGUCCGGAAUCAUUGGGCGUAAAGGGUGCGUAGGCGGCGUGGCAAGUCUGAUGUGAAAUCCCGGGGCUCAACCCCGGAACUGCAUUGGAUACUGCCAUGCUAGAGUACUGGAGAGGAGAUUGGAAUUUACGGUGUAGCAGUGAAAUGCGUAGAUAUCGUAAGGAAGACCAGUGGCGAAGGCGAAUCUCUGGACAUUUCCUGACGCUGAGGCACGAAAGCCAGGGGAGCAAACGGG
rnacentral:rRNA from 1 species